CCUACGGGCGGCAGCAGUGGGGAAUAUUGGGCAAUGGGCGCAAGCCUGACCCAGCGACGCCGCGUGAGGGAAGACGGUCUUCGGAUUGUAAACCUCUUUCAGCAGGGAAGACAAAAGGACGGUACCUGCAGAAGAAGCCACGGCUAACUACGUGCAAACAGCCGCGGUAAUGCGUCGGUGGCAAGCGUUAUCCGGGAUUAGGGGGUGUAAAGGGUGUGUAGGGGGGUUUGCAAGUCAGAUGGGAAAAUUAUGGGCUCAAACCAUAACCUUGGUCUGAAACUACAGAUCUUGAGAGUGUGAGAGGUAAACGGAAUGCGCGGUGUAGCGGUGAAAUGCGUAGAUAUCGGGAGGAACACCAGUGGCGAAGGCGGUUUACUGGACCACAACUGACGCUGAGACACGAAAGCGUGGGGAGCAAACAAGAUUAGAUACCCUUGUAGUC
rnacentral:rRNA from 1 species